rnacentral:rRNA from 1 species
AACGAAUGCUGGCGGCAGGCUUAACACAUGCAAGUCGAGCGCCCCGCAGGGGGAGCGGCAGACGGGUGAGUAACGCGUGGGAAUCUACCCAUCUCUACGGAAUAACGCAUGGAAACGUGUGCUAAUACCGUAUACGUCCUUCGGGAGAAAGAUUUAUCGGAGAUGGAUGAGCCCGCGUUGGAUUAGCUAGUUGGUGGGGUAAAGGCCUACCAAGGCGACGAUCCAUAGCUGGUCUGAGAGGAUGAUCAGCCACACUGGGACUGAGACACGGCCCAGACUCCUACGGGAGGCAGCAGUGGGGAAUAUUGGACAAUGGGCGCAAGCCUGAUCCAGCCAUGCCGCGUGAGUGAUGAAGGCCCUAGGGUUGUAAAGCUCUUUCACCGGUGAAGAUAAUGACGGUAACCGGAGAAGAAGCCCCGGCUAACUUCGUGCCAGCAGCCGCGGUAAUAC